UGAUGCAGCGACGCCGCGUGAGGGAUGACGGCCUUCGGGUUGUAAACCUCUUUCAGCAGGGACGAAGCGUAAGUGACGGUACCUGCAGAAGAAGCACCGGCCAACUACGUGCCAGCAGCCGCGGUAAGACGUAGGGUGCGAGCGUUGUCCGGAUUUAUUGGGCGUAAAGAGCUCGUAGGCGGCUUGUCGCGUCGACCGUGAAAACUUGGGGCUCAACCCCAAGCCUGCGGUCGAUACGGGCAGGCUAGAGUUCGGUAGGGGAGACUGGAAUUCCUGGUGUAGCGGUGAAAUGCGCAGAUAUCAGGAGGAACACCGGUGGCGAAGGCGGGUCUCUGGGCCGAUACUGACGCUGAGGAGCGAAAGCGUGGGGAGCGAACAGGAUUAGAUACCCUGGUAGUCCACGCUGUAAACGUUGGGCGCUAGGUGUGGGGGGCCUCUCCGGUUCUCUGUGCCGCAGCUAACGCAUUAAGCGCCCCGC
rnacentral:rRNA from 1 species